ACAGCAUGUGUUUGUUGUAGACUAGGCUAUACUCACCACCCUGGUGUUGAGAAAAGAUUUGGUUAAAAGGGAUUUACAUUCGCUAUCCUCCUCUUCCUCACUGAUGAUUAUUGGGUAUCUCUUCCUCUCUCUCCUCAGUACUGCAAUAAUGUGAAGGAGCAGCGGAUGAAUGGCCUACUGCCUGAGCCUCUCCAGAUAUUUCCUCGAGCCGGCAAGACUCCAGGGAUCCGGAACAUACACAGCCUGAAGGUGAACACAAGGCCCAAUGACUGCUCCCCCGCCGCCAUCGGCUCUAUGCCCAACAAUAGUCCCAGUCUAAAGAAGUCCUCUGCAGAGCUAAAGAAGAUUUUGACUAAUGGACAGGUAUUGUAUUUCUCCCCCUUCUGAACUAACACACACGUGUCCCCAAUGGCUGUCCUCAGGGCCU